rnacentral:lncRNA from 1 species
UUUCCUCCAAAAUAACCCUAUCGCCAUGCAACACCUUCACGAUUUCUCCAUUAGCUACCAUCCUAUAGCCUCUUAAAUUCAGUCUGCUCAGUGAGAUAAAAUUUCAUCUAAAAUCGGAUAUCUCUCGAACCUCCCCCAAUCUCUUCACUGCACCAUUAUGUGUCUUCCAGCUGACCAUCUCGAUGUCUUUGAUCACACAGCUCGAUCUAUCCGAUAGAUAAACAGUGCCC